AGUGAACGCUGGCGGUAGGCCUAACACAUGCAAGUCGAACGGCAGCACAGGAGAGCUUGCUCUCUGGGUGGCGAGUGGCGGACGGGUGAGGAAUACAUCGGAAUCUACUCUGUCGUGGGGGAUAACGUAGGGAAACUUACGCUAAUACCGCAUACGACCUACGGGUGAAAGCAGGGGAUCUUCGGACCUUGCGCGAUUGAAUGAGCCGAUGUCGGAUUAGCUAGUUGGCGGGGUAAAGGCCCACCAAGGCGACGAUCCGUAGGUGGUCUGAAGGGAUGAUCAGCCACCAUGGAACUGAGGCACGGGCCAGGCUCCUACGGGAGGCAGCAGUGGGGAAUAUUGGACAAUGGGCGCAAGCCUGAUCCAGCCAUACCGCAUGGGUGAAGAAGGCCUUCGGGUUGUGAAGCCCUUUUGUUGGGAAAGAAAUCCAGCUGGCUAAUACCCGGUUGGGAUGACGGUACCCAAAGAAUAAGCACCGGCUAACUUCGUGCCAGCCGCCGCAGUAA
rnacentral:rRNA from 1 species